CGACCCCAGGUCAGUCGGGACUACCCGCUGAGUUUAAGCAUAUAAAUAAGCGGAGGAGAAGAAACUUACGAGGAUUCCCCUAGUAACGGCGAGCGAACCGGGAGCAGCCCAGCUUGAGAAUCGGGCGGCCUCGCCGCCCGAAUUGUAGUCUGGAGAGGCGUCCUCAGCGACGGACCGGGCCCAAGUUCUCUGGAAAGGGACGCCUGGGAGGGUGAGAGCCCCGUCCGGCCCGGACCCUGUCGCACCACGAGGCGCCGUCAACGAGUCGGGUUGUUUGGGAAUGCAGCCCAAAUCGGGCGGUAAACUCCGUCCAAGGCUAAAUACAGGCGAGAGACCGAUAGCGAACAAGUACCGCGAGGGAAGAUGAAAAGGACUUUGAAAAGAGAG
rnacentral:ncRNA from 1 species